rnacentral:lncRNA from 1 species
GGAAAUAAAUUAUGAAUUUAGUGCGGAAGCGAAAUAAAUAGUUUAGGUUUACAUUCCUUACACAUAAACUUAAAGUCUCAAAUAGUGCUACAGGAAUUAACCUUUUGAAGAAAAUACAAAAAAAUUAAGGAAAUAAACGGAAAAUAAAUAAAACUGAUAUCCUACUUGCAACCCUCUUGUAGAUCGGGCUUUGGAUCAUGAUCCUCUUGAUCUGAAAUGGUUAAAUAAGGAAUGAGUUAUACUAGACUAGUAAGAAUAUCACACUACUCACCGACAUAGAAAUGAAGGUUGAUAGAAAAUCAAAACAACUAAUAGAGCACUUAAUUAAACAAAUAUAUUUAUUAACAAUAAAACCAUUUACCAUCUACUUACUGCAGCGAAAUUUAAAAAAAACAACCUAUAAAGACAAUAACAUAACAUUUAUCAUGAUUCCAUAUGCAAUUGGUAACAGGUACACAUUAUAAAUCCAUAUUCAAUAAAUCAAAUAACAACCUUCCCUUUUAUCAACCUACUGGUAUCUAUUAGGGGCUCAUAGGGAUGUAUCUGCUACGCGUGAACCCUUUCCUGUAACAUUCUCAAUUAAAUGAUCGUCUCCAUACCCCGUCCGCUAUGAGCACCAGAUUACUAAGUCUCGAUACCCCGUCCGGUAUAAGACAACGUUCACGGUAGGAUUCCUUAUUGUACCCAGCCUGUCUACUAUUUCCCAGAAUAUCCAAUAGAGCUGUCGUUUCAUCCAUUCACUUAAUCAAAUAAUUUCUCAUUUUUUCUUAGUCUCUAUUUUCUAAUUCAACAGUAAUCACGUAAACAAACAAACAUGCAUCAGAGAAUACAAUCAUAUCCCGAUUUUUUAAUUUAAUAGUAGUCACGUAAGACAGCAAUACAUGCAUUCAAAUCAUAAAAUUGAUAAAUCAAAUAUUAUUAUGCAUUCAAACAGUAAAAUAAAUCGACAGAAAUCAACGGAGAAUAAUUUUUUGUUCUGUCUCUAUUAGUAAACCGUAAUUAAUUAUAAAUAUUUUCUAAAUAGUACAAAAUACCGUAUUAUUGUUAAUUUGACUUCAAUUCAGUGACAGAAUAUAGGGUGAGGGAUUCUUAACAAUUCAAUGCCCAAAAAGUAAAACUUGUUGACUACACCUAUCAACAAUCUCCUGAUUCUCUAAUUUUUUUUUUUGAAAAUUAAAACGCACUAUAAGUACCUAAAAAUAUCCCAAAAAAUUCAAAAUCAGUCUUAUGACACAAUUUUGGCUAAUUCCAAAAUUCUAGCACGGUGGCUCCAUUGUGCUCCAGUGACGGUGACGACACUGUUGCCUGUGGUGGCGGUUCGCCUCGGAUUGGCUAUUUUAGACCGAAUUCGGCCGAUUUUGUAUCAAUCCCUACAAAAGAAUAUGUUAAGGAGUUUCAAUUGGUCGAAAAAAUACAAAAAAUUAAAACUCACCAGCGGUGGGACUCUCUGGUGCUGUGGCUCCUCCGGUUCAUGUUGCGGUUGGGUGUUUUGCUUUGGUUAACAUGUAGAGAAUGAAACGGUGAUCACAAUGGUGGAAAAAUUAUGCCGAGCGGGAAUUAGAAAGGGCCUCAUUGGAGGUAUUUUAUGAAAUUUCUCGUGGCAGUACGGCCGGGCUUUGCCCGCAGUUUCCGACCAAUUAGCCAGUUCUUUUAUUUCGAUUUGGCCACAUAGGUGUUUAAAAUUGAAUUUCGAGUAAAGAGAGAGAUUUAACCUCUUUGGUGGUCGAAAAUAGCUCCGGCGCGGUGGUGGGUGGCGAUGGCUCUCUUUCCCGGUGGCUGGGUCUUUUUCUCCAGCGAGGGUAUCUGGCGGCUAGGAUUAGGUUUCGGUGUGAAAAUAGUUAUUUAUAUCCAUUCCCAUUUAAUCUGGACCGCCUAUCGCGUUUGAUCUGGACCGUCUGAUCGUAAUUAAAUAGAGAGUGAAUCUGUACUGUUCAUCGCGAUUUAAUCUGGACCGUCCGAUCGCGUUUAAAUCUGACCAUCCGAUUGCAUUUUGGGAGUGAAGGCAUCCAAGUGGUCCGUGCACGCGGGAACGGAUCUAGACCGUUCAAUCGCGGGCAUGCGGAUCGCCUGCGUGGUACCGCAUCAGCGUCGGUUGCCACACGGCUGGUUCUGGUGCGUCAGGGCUGCUGACCAGGCAUCCCACGUGGCACAACUUCUCUAAAUUAUAUUUUAACCCCUAAUUUUUUAUUUUUCUUUCAAAAAUAUCCCAUAACCCAAAUUUUUACCCAUUUUUCUCAAAAUUAUUUUCAAUUUCAUCCCCCAUCAAAUUUUUUUUAUUUUUAUACUAAAUUAAAAUAAAAAAUUAUAAAAAUUAUAUUUAUAAAUUUAUUUUAAAUUACAUUUAAAAUUAAAUUUGGGUGUUGCAACUCUCCCCUCCUUAAAAGAAAUUUAGUUCUUCAAAUUUGUCUCUCUCCCUCUUAAUCAAAUAGUUGGAGAUAUUGGGCUCUGAAGUCUGAUUUUAGCUCCCAUGUGGCCUCUCUCGGUGUAUGAUUCUGCCAUAUGACCUUAACAAAGGGAUUUUUUUGGUUGCGAAGUAAUAUGCUCUUUCGGUCCACAAUACCGACCCGUACUUCCCCGUAGGACAGAUCCUUCUUGAGUGGAAGAGGCUAGGGGUCUGGAUUGUGCUUGUGUAGCAUGAACACAUGAAACACAUUAUGGACCCUAAAAAGUUCUGGAGGCAGUAUCAGUCUGUAAGCGGUGAUACUAAUUUUGUCUAAGAUUUCAAAUGUCCCGAUAAACCGGGAUUGAGUUUUCCCAUCUUGCCAAAUCUAUUGAUUCUCUUAAAAGAGGUGACCUUAAGGAACACACAAUCGCCUUUCUGCUCAAGCCAGAACCCACACUUAUUAAACUUUGCAUACAACUUUUUCUCCUUGAGAACCUGCAAAACCUGAGUCAAAUGAUGAGUGUGUUCCCUCUGUCUUUUAAAUAAGCCAAGAUAUCAUCGAUGAACACAAUAACAAACUGAUCUAGAAAUUUUCUGAAAAUCAUGUUCAUCAAGUCCAUGAAGAUGGCUGGAGUAUUGGUUAGUUCAAAUGACAUGACCAGAAACUCAUAGUGUUCGUACCUGGUUCGAAAGACUGUUUUGGGGAUAUCUUCUGCUCUGAUUUUUACCUGAUAGUAACUUAAACGCAAGUCUAUCUUAGAGAAGACUUGGGCACCUUACAACUAAUCAAAGAGGUCAUCGAUCCCAGGGAGGGAAAACUUGUUUUUAAUCAUGACCCUGUUCAAACCUCCGUAAUCAAUACAUAACCUCAACGUCCCAUUUUUCUUUUUUAUAAAUGUGACUCUGGCACCCCAAGGGGACACACUAUGUCGGAUGAAUCCACUGUUUUACAAUUUAGUGAUCUAUUUUCUCAGUUCCUCCAUCUCAAUGCGGCUCAUGCGGUAAGGAGCAACCGAAAUAGGCUGGGUACGUGGCUGAAGGUCUAUGGUGAAUUCAACUUCUCUGCCCACUAGCAAUCCAGGUAGUUCAUCUGGAAAUCCAUCUAGAAAGUCUCGGACUACUGGAAUCUCUUGAACAUGAAUUUCUUUCUUGGGUUUGCCUAGUUAGAGAAAACAGAUUGGUUAAAGUACUUGAUAAUAAGAAAAUUUGUCAUGAGGGAAUAAAUGUUAAACGAUUUUAUUAAUUUGUAAAUGACUCCUCAUUAAGAGGGUUGAAUACAACAUUCUUGCUAAAAAAAUCUAUAGUUGUGUGAUACGCUGCUGGCCAGUUCAUUCCUAAAAUUACAUCAAAGUCCCCUGUGUCAAUUUCUAUUAGGUCCACACUCAAUUUUCUAUAUGUUAUAUUUAUAACAUAGACCCUGUAUACAGCCUCUCCCAGUAGUAUCCUACUCCUAGGAGUAGACACAAACAACACAUAAUCAAGUUUUUCAGGUAAUACAUCUAAUUUUGAUGCAAAAAUAUGUGAAACAAAUGAAUGCAAUACGCCAGUAUCAAUCAAGACAUGAGCAAGAUGGUUACAUAUAGUGUACAUACCAUGUACCACGUCCAGGUUGGCUUUUACAUCCUGCUGGUUGAGAUUGUAAGCCCUGUCCUGAAUAGGAGGUUUGGCCAGGUUCUAGUUAAUCAGGAACUCCCUUGCAUAAUGUUGGACGCUACCACAUAUGUGGCAGGUGUUGUUGAGACGACAGCAGGUCAGUCCCCAUGAUCCUUACCACAAUGUUGACAGAUCUUGCCGCGUCCUGCUGUUGGAACCUGAGGGAGAGCCUGAGUCAUUGGCCUAGUUCUCUUAUUCUAUUGAACAUGUGCAGUAUGCAUUGAUCUGCGGUAUGGAGCUAAGGACCUGAGGUUCCCUACUGCUUGAGGGAACGUGCGAAGACUCCUCUCCGCUAACUGUGCCUUGGCCAGAACAAUUGAAUAAGUACUAAGCUCGAGCACAAAAGACUGCUGUCUGAUCUUAGAACGAAGACUCUACUCGAAUUUUCUGGCCUUCUUGCCUUCAACCAUCAUGCUCUCAGGAGAAUAUCGACCCAACUCUAGGAACUUGCGAGUAUAUUCUGAUAUCAUCAUGUCCCCUUAGACUAAGUGUGCAAACUCCAUCUCAUUCAGAUGUCAGAGAUGCUUUGGGAGGUAAUCUGCAUUACAGACCGUAAGGAACUGUUCCCAAGUGACUGAAAAUGGUAGGGUGGUCUGCUUGAGUUGCAUCCAACGGUCUGCUUCUCCCACUAGCAUAUAAGUAGCAAGGAUGAUCUUCUGUUCGGGAAUUACCCCGAGGGUCUUGAAAGCCUUCUCUAUCUCAGCUAACCAGAACUCAGUCUUUUCAAAGGAGGAUCUGACUACAAAAGUAGAUAGAUUUAGUCUUUUAUAUCUUUCUAUAUAGUUUGGGUCCAUCAUGAGAGGAGCCGUGUUCCUCGGACCCAUUCCUUACACAAAACCCUUAGGAAACACAAAAAAAAAAGAAUUAUCACUCAACAAUUUCUUGUGAAAUGCAGGUACAGAUAGAUGAGGAGAGGAAGAUACCCACUAAACUGAGCAGCCCAGGAGGGUUCGCUUAGAGAGGAUAUUGACCGGUUAUUUGAGAUGAUGGAGAGACUUAUUGCUACCCAGCAGGCCUGAGAGGAAAGGAGGGAGCUACCUGACCGUCCCCCGCUGCCACAGGUUAAGCCACCCCUGUAGUGGGAGGAUCCCGAGCCACCCCGAUAUAACCCUGCUCGAC